rnacentral:lncRNA from 1 species
AGCCCUAACAGGAGAUCAAUGAAAUGCCAGAAAACCGUGAUAGGAGCUAGAGAUUAAGACGAUAGGAAGGACCUCUCUCUCCCACUGUUCUCUACAUCUGUGAGAGUAUAUAUGGCUCAUGUUGACACUAAGUGUGCAUUCUUAGCUUAUUUUGACUGUUUCAGUAUAAUUAACUUUGCUUAAAUACAUGCGACAGUAUCAAGACAUGAGGUUUGGGUUUGUUUUGGAUUUCAGCUCUUGUCGCUGUCAUUCUAAUCCAAAUCAAAACUUGAUUCAAGACUGCACUCUUUUGGUAAUGAAGAUUUAUCAUAGAGGAAUUUGAGUGUGUGAAGGCUGAGGUUUACAAUACUAAUAAUGCAACUUUUUUUUGAAGACCUCUUAUGUCUUCCAUCUUUAUUCCAGGCACUUGUCUUCAAAUAGGUGUAAGUAGCCAUAUAGUUAAACAUAAUAUAACUUCUGUUCCAGAGAAGAGCACAAUAGCGAUAAAACGUGUUGAAAUUCAGCUUUCACUCACGGGAAGGAGGUCAAAAUCUGAAGGAAAUACUUCAAAAGUGUGGAAAGCAAAACUGUUCUCUCAAGCCCAUCUGCUGGAUAUGAUUAGUCUGUGGACAUUUUUCCCUCCAAAUUUUCAGCUCCUUAUGUGUGCAACCUGCUCUGUACAGGCUCAACAUCAGCCUGAAGACAUGAGCUCUGACAGUGCUACAUCUGCAAACCUUCCCCCAAAGGAAUGCAAUUGUCAUGGCAUUCUGGGAAAGAAGAAACAUGUUCUGAUUAGUCGGGUCCUAAGCCCUUAUUUAGGGCUCCGUCACAAAAACAGAGAUAUCAGCAGCGAGCAAUGAACCAGCAGAGAUGCUGAACAAUAUGCUAAGAUGUGACAGGAUGUGUCCAUCCUGGCCUGCGUCUCUGGUGGAGGGUGCACAACAUCAGCCACGUGCAGGGAGUGGUCUGCGAGGCUGGGGCUAGGAAUGGGAUCGUCUCCCUGUGCUAUUGCUGCUUUGAGCUUCAGCUGAACAUGUGUGUCCCAUGAG